rnacentral:sRNA from 1 species
GUUUGCACUUGUCGGGGAAGGGUGAGAACCUUCGAUUAAGGUUCGACUUGAGCGAAAGCGAGAGAACGUUGCCAACGGCAACGGCCCGUAGGGUGAGGAGCGAAGCGACGAAUAAUCUUUCCUCCACCACCA